rnacentral:rRNA from 1 species
CAAUAGCGUAUAUUUAAGUUGUUGCAGUUAAAAAGCUCGUAGUCGGAUGUCGGGCUCGGGCAGGCUGUCGGCUUCGGUCGGACGGCAGGCUCGGGUCUUUCUGCCUGAGGAUCCAUCUCAUUCACUUGGGGUGGGGACGCAGGCCGUUUACUUUGAAAAAAUUAGAGUGUUCAAAGCAGGCCUACGCUUGAAUACAUUAGCAUGGAAUAAUGGAAUAGGACUUUGGUGCUAUUUUGUUGGUUUAUGGGACCGAAGUAAUGAUUAACAGGGACAGUUGGGGCCGUUUAUAUUUCGUUGUCAGAGGUGAAAUUCUUGGAUUUACGAAAGAUAAACUUCUGCGAAAGCAUUCGGCAAGGAUGUUUUCAUUGA